AUCCCCUACGGGGGGCAGCAGUGGGGAAUAUUGCACAAUGGGGGAAACCCUGAUGCAGCGACGCCGCGUGAGUGAAGAAGUAUUUCGGUAUGUAAAGCUCUAUCAGCAGGGAAGAAGAAAGACGGUACCUGUUUAGAAAGCUCCGGCUAACUACGUGCCAGCAGCCGCGGUAAUACGUAGGGAGCAAGCGUUGUCCGGAAUUACUGGGCGUAAAGGGCGCGUAGGUGGGCGCUUAAGUCAGGUGUGAAAACUCCGGGCUCAACCUGGAGACUGCACUUGAAACUGGGUGUCUUGAGGGCAGGAGG
rnacentral:rRNA from 1 species